rnacentral:lncRNA from 1 species
CUCCCAGCCAUUAUUGGCCUUUCAAGGUGCUUCCUCUUAGGAAGACCACAGCUAGCGCUUCUUCAUCUUUAAUGUGACCGUGAAUCACCUGGGAUCUUGUUAAAGUGUAGAUUCUGCUUCAGCAGGUCUGAGGUGGGCUUGGAGUCUGCAUUUCCUUGCUUCCGCGUGAUGACGAUAUUGCUGGUCUUGGGCACCACAGGUGAGGCGCAAGGACCUGAACUCGCCCUCACAGGAAAGGAGCAUAGAAUCUUUCUACAGUCAGUUGAAAAAGAAACAGCCUGAGAAAAUACAGCAGAAGUAUCAGUUUAUUAAAAUAGUUUCCAAUCAAAGAUGGUCUGUGGUCACAAAUGAUAUAUUUUGGUCUCUGGAAAGACAGAGAGCAAGAGGUGGGAGGAGGAGAGAGAGACAGAGAGACCUGGGAGACGCGGGGCCGAGAAGCCUUGGAGAUAUCACUUCCUGGACUUCUCUGCAGAGCAGCCACCGUUGGUCUUGCUAAGAGAGUCUGUGCUGCCCACUCUUGAGCCCACGCUGUUGAGGAUUUUCUCAAUUUCUCCUGGGAUGCUCUGCUUUUCCUCGUUCUCAGUCUCCCGAUGGUAGAAGUAGUUAAAGUUGGAGACAAUAACAGGCACAGGGAGGGCAAUGGUGAGGACCCCUGCGAUGGCACACAGAGUACCCACGAUUUUCCCCCCUGGGGUGGUCGGGCACAUGUCCCCAUAGCCCACAGUUGUCAUGGUGACCACCGCCCACCAGAAGCCAUCAGGAAUGCUGGAGAAAUGGGACUCUGGCUCAUCCACCUCGGCAAAGUAGACGGCGCUGGAGAAGAGGAUGACGCCGAUGAAGAGGAAGAAGAUGAGCAGCCCCAGCUCCCGCAUGGAAGCCUUCAGCGUCUGCCCCAGGAUCUGCAGCCCCUUGGAGUGGCGGGAGAGCUUGAAGAUGCGGAAGACCCUCACCAGGCGGAUGAUCCUCAGGAUGGCCAGGGACAUGUUCUGCUGGGCACUUGGCUCUGUCUCCUGGACCAGCUCCGUGAUGAGGGUUGCGAAGUAGGGGAUGAUGGAGAUGAUGUCGAUGACGUUCAUGAUGCUCCUGAAGAAGUCAGCCUUGCUGGGGCAGACCGUGAACCGGAGCACCAGCUCGAAGGUGAACCACGCGAUGCAGGUGGACUCCACCAUGAAGAAAGGGUCAGUGAACAAAGUGUGGGAGAGGACUGUUUUGCUCAUGUUGAGGCUGGGGUCUCUCACCACCUUCAGCUCCCUCUCCUCUCGGAACUCAGGAAGGGUCUCCAGGCAGAAGAUGGUGAUGGAGAUGAUCACGACCAGGACGGAGACUACGGCCACACCACGGGCAGCACUGGAGCUCUCGGGGUACUCGAAGAGGAGCCAGAACUGCCGGUGGACGUCACUGGUGGGGAGCAGUGUCUCAGGAUCUUUGAUGAAGCCUUCGUCCUCUCGGAACUGGUCCAUGGCCUCGCUGCCCAGCUCGUAGAAGGAGAUCUCGUCUGCAAAGACGUCGAUAGGGACGUUGGCCGGGCGCCGAAUCUUCCCACCAGAUUGGUAAUAGUACAGGAUCCCAUCAAAGCUAGGCCGGUUCCUGUCAAAGAAGUACUCAUUUCUCAUGGAGUCAAAGAACUGCAUCCUUUUCUCCCGAUCUCCCAGACUGGUAGUAGUACAAAAUGGCAUCAAAGCUCGGGCGGUUCCGAUCGAAAAAGUACUCGUUCCGGAGGGGGUCAAAGUAUCUCAUCCGUUUCUUUGGGUCCCCUAAGAGGGUCUCUGGAAACUGGGCUAAGGUCUUUAGCUGGGUUUCAAACCGCAGCCCCGAGAUGUUGAUCACCACCCUCUCACAGCAUUCGUGGUCUGCUUCUGGGUCAUAGGUAUCCUGCGGGUGCCCAGGGAGGGCAGCAGCCUCAUCCGCUGGGUCUCCGGUGGCCACUGUCAUAAUUGGAACCGGGAGGGGCGCCUCUUGCUGCGCCUUCUAGCUGCCUGGUGGCUGGGAGCUUGGGAUGGUGCUUACGGCCCCAGGAAACACAGCGGCAUCAGCCUGGGUUCCAGCGGGAGAGCCCGCAGGGCUCCCUGAGAGCUGGAGAGAGAGCCUCGCUUGGCUGGAAGAUAGAGGUGGUUAAGAACAUAAGACCACUCAGCACUGGCAGCCCGACCUGGGGUGCUUUCCCCCCCACUUCUCUCAGCCAAGAAGCUCAAAAACAUCACCACCACUGAUACCACAAAAAAGUAAGAUUUAUGUUUACCUGGGCUGGGGAUCAGAGGGAAGCAGGUGGUGGUCUCUCAAGAAAGCUCUGGAAUGCCCUGAGCUGGGGGCAGGGGGCUGACAUAGGUCCCCCUGCACUGUGCAGGCUUCAUGGAGCACAGCCCCAUACAAGAGGUUGGAAAGGAGCCCUCUCCCAGGCACUAAACUGAUGCCUUGCAGAUCCCUGCACCCUGAGAGGUAUUUGCAGUGACAAAUCUUGGGCCUGGGUCUCCCUCAUUGCUCCCACCCCAGUGACUCUACACAUGGCUGUUAUUAAACAAUAGAUUGAUUUACCUGGCAAGGCAGGAAUCUGCAGCUCUCUUCCUUGCAGAGCUGAUCCGAUGCUUCAGGAAUCCUAGAUAUACAAACGGGCAGCCCGAUACCCCAUCACGUCUUCUCACUUGAGAUAGAAAUAAUGGUGAGUCAUUCUGGGCAGGAGGGCAGGCUCCAGGGCCUGGAGGUGAGCUCUAGGGCAGAGCUGGGCUGGAGGGGUUGUGGGAUGCCUGGUUAGGGGCACACAGGACUCGGGGACGGGUAAGCUGGGAUCUGGAGCCUUUGAAAGGAAGGAAGUAAGAUGUAAUGCUCAGCAAAAGCCAGAGUUCUCCCGGCUGCCCUCAGGAGGUGUGACGUUGCCUGGAAAAAACAGCAGCAAGGUGGAAUCAGAGUUUUUGGGCAGCUGGUGCCAAGAUUCAGGAGAGCUCUGGCAGCUUCUCUUCCAUGCCCAUUUUCUAUUCUGGUGUCAUACCUGAGAAGUAUCCCUCAACCUCCUAGCCUCUUCUGGGCAGGCUUCCAUCCACUGGAAGCGUUUUCUCCCAGGGAACAAGCCUUUAGACUUGGCUGGGCCUGUCUCCUCCAGGGGCCUCCCCUGGCUCAGUCAGAUUCCCCAUUGGUCCUCUGCAGCCAUCAGGAGGGACUCUGGGCAAAGCCCUCCCAUCCCGAGGUCAGGACACAGCAUCUCCCAAGGGAAGAGCUUCCUACACUGCAGCCCCACUCCCAGCUCUGACCUCUGCAGAGUCCUGGAGGAAGAACCGCUCCUCCCCAGCCUGGCUGCCCCCAAUACACACUCCUCCAGAGCUCAUCUAGGGAGACUUCUCACACAGAAAGGUCGAUCUCCAAAAGCUGGUUUCCUUGGUCCCAGGACUUCCUCUCCCUCAGGGACCCCUACACUGCAGGCCUCCCUCCGGCAGGGUGGCAUUCGAACCGGGCAGCGCCCGACCACCGAUUUCUCCCCAACAGAAAACCCCUCACGUCUCUUGGGCAGUGAGUGCAGAACCAAGUCUCAGCCAGCCUGGCUGCGAGGCAGCUUGGCAGCAGCUAGAGGGGGAGCCUGAAGGAAGCCAGCUUCCGGGCUGGCCCCCUGCCCGCCCAAUCCCGCCGGCCCCCGGGCGGGGAGGGGGCCGAGCCCUCCCGGGUGGCGGCUGCAGCCAGCUCCACCUUAACCCCCUCCUGCCCGGUCCGGAGGGGGGCUCUAGCGGUGGGGCCCGAGCGCUGCCUAGCUCUUUUGCCCGUAGCGUCCGAGGGACCGCCGAGGCUCCAUCUCCCUCCAGAAAACACUGGAACCUAAACUCUGGGGGUGGGGAGUAGAUGCUGCCCCAGAUCUUGGCUUUCCUCUAAGAGCGGGGGCUCCCUGGGAGCCCCACGGCCCCAGGGAAGCGGAAAAGCCCUUCUCUGCCGCAAAGCCGUUUUCGUUCUGAGCCGGAGAGGGGAAUGCCGCCGGGCAGUCCCAAGUGAUUCGUGUCCUACCAACCAGCGCUAUUUACCAGACAUGGUUAUGUCAGCUGCGCUUCCCAUCACCCGCCAGCUCCUCUCUGCGCCCUCCGCCCCGCGCGCCCGGCACUGCCCGGAGGGUCCCCGAGCCCUUUGCCUGUUCUCUCCUUCCGCUGGUCGCCAGCCCCCCAUCGCCCCCCCCCGCCCCCCGCCCCCCCGCCCCCACCCGCUUACAUGUAGGGCCUCCCUGGUCGUUCCGGUAGAGCGAGACAGCACCCGGCGCUGCG